CUCGGCCUGUAACCGCUGCGGGGGCCGCUCUCUGGGCCCGCCCCUCCAGGCCAGGAGCCUUUUUCAAAAUGCCGGCGGUGGCAGGGAAGGUUGUCUGGUCCAGAGGCUUCCCUAGGGUGAAGAGCUCUACUAUCAAUGAUUCAAGAAACGUUGGUAGGUGCCCAUAACUUUGGUGGUGGAGAUCCAAAAGUGAACAAGACAGUGUUCUGGCUGCUAAGUUCUUCUUAACUGGUUAUGCCUGGAGACCUUCACUUGGUUCUAUGCCGGCACUGCCCAUGAACUUCAUAGACUGAUCUUUGCUAAGGCCUAAAUGAAUGAAGCCCUCACCAGAAGCUGAGAAGAUGCCGGUUCCAUGCUUCUUGAACAGCCUGUAGAACUGAUGGAGCCUCGGAAUAGAGACCAGGUUGAAAAUCAGUCUUUUACUUAGAACCAUGAAAGCAGAUACUACAUCUUAUCCAUCUAUGACCCAGUGACCCAGAAGCCAUUAAUUUGACAUUACCAACAUACCUCCACACAAAGACUUUAUAAUCUUCAGUGUGAGAAUUAAACAAACAAACAAAAACUUAAACAACUUUGGAGGGGAGAAUGAUAACCUAAAUUUUAAGCAUAAGAAAAUCCCUAACAAAAAGAUCCAACUAAUUGCCACUGGGGGGCGAUGGAAGUUCGUGAACUGCUCUGCUAAUCCCUGAGGCAACUGAGCACUUUAGUUGGUUUGUUUAUUCA